AUUGAACGCUGGCGGCAGGCCUAACACAUGCAAGUCGAACGAGUGGCGGACGGGUGAGUAAUGUCUGGGAAACUGCCUGAUGGAGGGGGAUAACUACUGGAAACGGUAGCUAAUACCGCAUACCAUCGGAUGUGCCCAGAUGGGAUUAGCUAGUAGGUGGGGUAAAGGCUCACCUAGGCGACGAUCCCUAGCUGGUCUGAGAGGAUGACCAGCCACACGGGGACUUAGACACGGUCCAGACGACUACGGGAGGCAGCAGUGGGGGAAAUUGCACAAGGGGCGCUGUCCUGAUGCAGCGAUGCCGCGUGUAUGGAGAAGGCCUUCAGGUUGUAAAGUACUUUCAGCGGGGAGUCGUUACCCGCAGAAGAAGCACCGGCUAACUCCGUGGCAGCAGCCGCGGUAAUUC
rnacentral:rRNA from 1 species